ACACCCAUCCUACGGUGGCCUCCCCUCGCCGGAUCGGCCCACCUUGGCUCCCUUGCCAAUGAAUCAGAUGUGCGCGAGGUGAAUCGCCUCUCCCGCAGCUUCUCCUACCUCGACGAGAAGGCCGACGGUGCUGUGCCGACCGCCCCAACGCCUUCCCCCCACCAACCACCAGAUCCCGGCCGGCGAACAGAGCUCCCACCACAGCACCCCAUCAUGCCACCGUGCACAUCCACUAGCCCAUGCAGUUCGGAUGGGGGUGCUCACCCCGUCCCACCUAGGCCGGCAGACCCCGUCGCCGGAUCCACCCAAGCCGGCACACCCCAUCGACCUCCCCCUAGCCGUCAUGCGCAGCAGCUCCUCCACCUCUCUUGAGUUGUCGGGCGUCGCCCGAGUGCAGCUCAGUUGCUGUCCCAAUGCAGCUCGGCUGCCACUGUUCAGUCUCGGGCAUGGACGUGCAGCUCGACAACCAUGGACAUGCAGCUCGUACUUGUCGUCAACGCCUACAUCACUUCCCCUCAAUUUUUGAAGCCAAGGGACGUGCGAGCUCCAUGGACAGAGCGGUAGUUGCCCCUCUUCUCCAACUCCAAUGACUCCUCUGGGUCCUCUCCAUCGUGCCCGUCACAUAGCAGUGCACUCCGGAGGGCUGCAGGAGAUGGUGGCUACACCGGAUGCCAGACACUACAAUGGAUGCGGUGCGGUCCACAUGGUCCUUGGCCGCUGGACAUAAAUGCAUACGUGUUCAUCGCCGGCGUGCAGUUCCCAAGCGACGCAUAUGUAGUUUACUCGAAAAACAAAAAAAUGCAGAAGAAAAGAUAACAAAGAAGUUCAUUUUGUUCUUUCUUUUGAGUUGGCAUUCAUUUCCCAAGCGAACGCUAAGAUUCCAGUGCAAUGCCCUUGUGUGAUUCCAUUGCAGUGCACUUUCAUGAUUUUUUAUUCCAAAUGAUCACAUCUCAUUGUGUGCGCUUAUCAUGUUUUUAAGAAAAUGUUUUGUGCUC